AGAGUUUGAUCCUGGCUCAGAAUCAACGCUGGCGGCGUGCCUAACACAUGCAAGUCGAACGCGAGAGAGGCUUCGGCCCCAAUUGAGUGGCGAACGGGUGAGUAACACGUGGGUGACCUACCUUUCGAGUGGGGGAUAACGUCCCGAAAGGGACGCUAAUACCGCAUAACAUUCCGCUUUUGAACAAGUGGAAAUCAAAGCCGGGGAUCGCAAGACCUGGCGCUUGAUGAGGGGCCCGCGUCCGAUUAGCUAGUUGGUGAGGUAAUGGCUCACCAAGGCGACGAUCGGUAGCCGGCCUGAGAGGGCGGACGGCCACACUGGGACUGAGACACGGCCCAGACUCCUACGGGAGGCAGCAGUGGGGAAUUGUUCACAAUGGGCGCAAGCCUGAUGACGCAACGCCGCGUGGAGGAUGAAGGUCUUCGGAUUGUAAACUCCUGUUGCUCGGGACGAACGGCUUCGACCUAACACGUCGGAGUUUGACGGUACCGAGUGAGGAAGCCCCGGCUAACUCUGUGCCAGCAGCCGCGGUAAUACAGAGGGGGCAAGCGUUGUUCGGAAUUACUGGGCGUAAAGGGCGCGUAGGCGGCCUGCUAAGUCGAACGUGAAAUCCCUGGGCCCAACCCAGGAACUGCGUCCGAUACUGGCAGGCUUGAAUCCGGGAGAGGGAUGCGGAAUUCCAGGUGUAGCGGCGAAAUGCGUAGAUAUCUGGACGAACACCGGUGGCGAAGGCGGCAUCCUGGACCGGCAUUGACGCUGAGGCGCGAAAGCCAGGGGAGCAAACGGGAUUAGAUACCCCGGUAGUCCUGGCCCUAAACGAUGAAUGCUUGGUGUGGCGGGUAUCGAUCCCUGCCGUGCCGAAGCUAACGCAUUAAGCAUUCCGCCUGGGGAGUACGGUCGCAAGGCUGAAACUCAAA
rnacentral:rRNA from 1 species